UGGGGCCCAGAUCGUUUACCGUGAAAAAAUUAGAGUGUUCAAAGCAGGCAGAUCCAAUUUUCUGCCACCGAAUACAUUAGCAUGGGAUAAUGGAAUAGGACCCUGUCCUCCUAUUUUCAGUUGGUUUUGGCAGCGCGAGGACUAGGGUAAUGAUUAAUAGGGAUAGUUGGGGGCAUUAAUAUUUAAUUGUCAGAGGUGAAAUUCUUGGAUUUAUGAAAGAUUAACUUCUGCGAAAGCAUCUGCCAAGGAUGUUUUCAUUAAUCAAGAACGAAAGUUAGGGGAUCGAAGACGAUCAGAUACCGUCGUAGUCUUAACCAUAAACGAUGCCGACCAGCGAUUAGGAGACGUUGAAUACAAAACACCACCAUCGGCGCGGUCGUCCUUGGCGUCGGUCCUUCACGGGGCCGGCGCGAGGGCGGCUUAGCCCGGUGGCACCGGUGAAUGACUCCCCUAGCAGCUUGUGAGAA
rnacentral:rRNA from 1 species